rnacentral:rRNA from 1 species
UCCAGGGCUACACACGUGCUACGAAUGGGCGAGACAGAGCGACGCGAAGCCGCGAGGUGGAGCAAAUCGACAGAAAAUCGCCCUCAGUUCGGAUUGGAGUCUGAAACCCGACUCCAUGAAGGUGGAAUCGCUAGUAAUCGCGCAUCAGCAUGGCGCGGUGAAUACGUUCCCGGGCCUU